rnacentral:rRNA from 1 species
CUUUCAACAACGGAUCUCUUGGUUCUCGCAUCGAUGAAGAACGCAGCGAAUUGCGAUAAGUAAUGUGAAUUGCAGAAUUCAGUGAAUCAUCGAAUCUUUGAACGCACAUUGCGCCCUCUGGCAUUCCGGAGGGCAUGCCUGUUUGAGCGUCUCAUG